rnacentral:rRNA from 1 species
AUUGAACGCUGGCGGCAUGCUUUACACAUGCAAGUCGAACGGUAACAGGCCUUCGGGUGCUGACGAGUGGCGAACGGGUGAGUAAUGCAUCGGAACGUGCCCAGAGGUGGGGGAUAACGCAGCGAAAGCUGUGCUAAUACCGCAUGUGAUCUGAGGAUGAAAGCGGGGGACCAGGCAGCAAUGUUUGGCCUCGCGCCUUUGGAGCGGCCGAUGUCAGAUUAGGUAGUUGGUGGGGUAAAGGCCUACCAAGCCGACGAUCUGUAGCUGGUCUGAGAGGACGACCAGGCAAACGGGGAAUGAGACACGGCCCCGACUCCUACGGGAGGCAGCAGGGGGGAAUUUUGGACAAUGGGCGCAAGCCUGAUCCAGCAAUGCCGCGGGCGGGAAGAAGGCCUUCGGGUUGUAAACCGCUUUUGUACGGAACGAAAAGGGUCUGGCUAAUACCUGGGGCUGAUGACGGUACCGUAAGAAUAAGCACCGGCUAACUACGUG